GUUAAGCGACUAAGCGUACACGGUGGAUGCCCUGGCAGUCAGAGGCGAUGAAGGGCGUGCUAAUCUGCGAUAAGCGCCGGUAAGGUGAUAUGAACCGUUAUAACCGGCGAUACCCGAAUGGGGAAACCCAGUGUGAUUCGUCACACUAUCAUUAACUGAAUCCAUAGGUUAAUGAGGCGAACCGGGGGAACUGAAACAUCUAAGUACCCCGAGGAAAAGAAAUCAACCGAGAUUCCCCCAGUAGCGGCGAGCGAACGGGGAGGAGCCCAGAGCCUGAAUCAGCAUGUGUGUUAGUGGAAGCGUCUGGAAAGGCGCGCGAUACAGGGUGACAGCCCCGUACACAAAAGCGCAUGUGCUGUGAGCUCGAUGAGUAGGGCGGGACACGUGGUAUCCUGUCUGAAUAUGGGGGGACCAUCCUCCAAGGCUAAAUACUCCUGACUGACCGAUAGUGAACCAGUACCGUGAGGGAAAGGCGAAAAGAACCCCGGCGAGGGGAGUGAAAAAGAACCUGAAACCGUGUACGUACAAGCAGUGGGAGCACAGGUUUACCUGUGUGACUGCGUACCUUUUGUAUAAUGGGUCAGCGACUUAUAUUCUGUAGCAAGGUUAACCGUAUAGGGGAGCCGCAGGGAAACCGAGUCUUAAUUGGGCGUUAAGUUGCAGGGUAUAGACCCGAAACCCGGUGAUCUAGCCAUGGGCAGGUUGAAGGUUGGGUAACACUAACUGGAGGACCGAACCGACUAAUGUUGAAAAAUUAGCGGAUGACCUGUGGCUGGGGGUGAAAGGCCAAUCAAACCGGGAGAUAGCUGGUUCUCCCCGAAAGCUAUUUAGGUAGCGCCUCGUGAAUUCAUCUCCGGGGGUAGAGCACUGUUUCGGCUAGGGGGCCAUCCCGGCUUACCAACCCGAUGCAAACUGCGAAUACCGGAGAAUGUUAUCACGGGAGACACACGGCGGGUGCUAACGUCCGUCGUGAAGAGGGAAACAACCCAGACCGCCAGCUAAGGUCCCAAAGUCAUGGUUAAGUGGGAAACGAUGUGGGAAGGCCCAGACAGCCAGGAUGUUGGCUUAGAAGCAGCCAUCAUUUAAAGAAAGCGUAAUAGCUCACUGGUCGAGUCGGCCUGCGCGGAAGAUGUAACGGGGCUAAACCAUGCACCGAAGCUGCGGCAGCGACGCUGAUGCGUUGUUGGGUAGGGGAGCGUUCUGUAAGCCUGCGAAGGUGGCCUGUGAGGGUUGCUGGAGGUAUCAGAAGUGCGAAUGCUGACAUAAGUAACGAUAAAGCGGGUGAAAAGCCCGCUCGCCGGAAGACCAAGGGUUCCUGUCCAACGUUAAUCGGGGCAGGGUGAGUCGACCCCUAAGGCGAGGCCGAAAGGCGUAGUCGAUGGGAAACGGGUUAAUAUUCCCGUACUUGGUGUUACUGCGAAGGGGGGACGGAGAAGGCUAUGUUGGCCGGGCGACGGUUGUCCCGGUUUAAGCGUGUAGGUGUGUGUUCCAGGUAAAUCCGGUUCACUUUAACACUGAGGCGUGACGACGAGGCACUACGGUGCUGAAGCAACAAAUGCCCUGCUUCCAGGAAAAGCCUCUAAGCAUCAGGUAACAUCAAAUCGUACCCCAAACCGACACAGGUGGUCAGGUAGAGAAUACCAAGGCGCUUGAGAGAACUCGGGUGAAGGAACUAGGCAAAAUGGUGCCGUAACUUCGGGAGAAGGCACGCUGACACGUAGGUGAAGUGAUUUACUCAUGGAGCUGAAGUCAGUCGAAGAUACCAGCUGGCUGCAACUGUUUAUUAAAAACACAGCACUGUGCAAACACGAAAGUGGACGUAUACGGUGUGACGCCUGCCCGGUGCCGGAAGGUUAAUUGAUGGGGUCAGCGCAAGCGAAGCUCCUGAUCGAAGCCCCGGUAAACGGCGGCCGUAACUAUAACGGUCCUAAGGUAGCGAAAUUCCUUGUCGGGUAAGUUCCGACCUGCACGAAUGGCGUAAUGAUGGCCAGGCUGUCUCCACCCGAGACUCAGUGAAAUUGAACUCGCUGUGAAGAUGCAGUGUACCCGCGGCAAGACGGAAAGACCCCGUGAACCUUUACUAUAGCUUGACACUGAACAUUGAGCCUUGAUGUGUAGGAUAGGUGGGAGGCUUUGAAGUGUGGACGCCAGUCUGCAUGGAGCCGACCUUGAAAUACCACCCUUUAAUGUUU
rnacentral:rRNA from 1 species